AUUGAACGCUGGCGGCAGGCCUAACACAUGCAAGUCGAGCGGAGCGGGGGACGGGGGGGUGAUGCCGAGGGAUCUGCCCGUUAGUGAGGGAUAACGUACGGAAGGGGGCGCUUAGACCGCAGACUAUAAGGUGAGCCUAGGGCGGAUUAGCUAGUUGGUGGGGUAAUGGCCUACCAAGGCGACGAGCCGUAGCUGGUCUGAGAGGAUGAUCAGUCACACUGGAACUGAGACACGGCCCAGACUCCUACGGGAGGCAGCAGUGGGGAAUCUUGGACAAUGGGCGAAAGCCUGAUCCAGCCAUGCCGCGUGUGUGAAGAAGGUCUUCGGAUUGUAAAGCACUUUUAGUUGGGAGGCGUUACCUACAGAAUAAGCACCGGCUAACUACGUGCCAGCCGCCGCGGUAAUAC
rnacentral:rRNA from 1 species